CUAAGAGACAAUAAGGUUGCAUUAGCAACUGGCACCCAUUAGCCAGUGUUAUCUGAUCUUAAAAGCUAAGCUGCAUCUAGCUUGGUUGGUGCUUUGGAUGGGAAACAACCUGAGAAUAUCAAGUGUUGCAGG
rnacentral:rRNA from 1 species